CAUCGCCGCGGUAAUACGUAGGUCCCGAGCGUUGUCCGGAUUUAUUGGGCGUAAAGCGAGCUCAGGCGGUUAGAUAAGUCUGAAGUUAAAGGCUGUGGCUUAACCAUAGUACGCUUUGGAAACUGUUUAACUUGAGUGCAAGAGGGGAGAGUGGAAUUCCAUGUGUAGCGGUGAAAUGCGUAGAUAUAUGGAGGAACACCGGUGGCGAAAGCGGCUCUCUGGCUUGUAACUGACGCUGAGGCUCGAAAGCGUGGGGCGCAAACAGGAUUAGAUACCCGCGUAGUCCCUGUCUCUUAUACCU
rnacentral:rRNA from 1 species